rnacentral:rRNA from 1 species
ACGGAGGGUGCAAGCGUUAUCCGGAAUCAUUGGGUUUAAAGGGUCCGCAGGCGGAUUUAUAAGUCAGUGGUGAAAUCCUACAGCUUAACUGUAGAACUGCCAUUGAUACUGUAAGUCUUGAAUUCGGUCGAAGUGGGCGGAAUAUGUCAUGUAGCGGUGAAAUGCUUAGAUAUGACAUAGAACACCGAUAGCGAAGGCAGCUCACUAGGCCUGGAUUGACGCUCAGGGACGAAAGCGUGGGGAGCGAACAGG